AAGUUUUUGAACGUGUAAAAAUUUUAUUGGUUAAAAUAUAAUAGAAAAAAAAAAGAAUAGUUUUGGAUACUUAUUUUGAUAUAUCAAAUUAUUAUUGUUCGGGUUUUAUGCUCGAACGUUAAUAGAGAGACAAAAAAAUCGUAUUUCAUUUAAAUGUGAUGGGUCAUGAUGCUCGGAUGUGAAUAAAAUAAAGAAGAGAAGGAUGAAAAUGAUGUUAGCAAUUUGUUCAAGAUUGUUUCUUGAACGUGUACGCAUUAAGCGGUUAGGUUUAACAUGAUGGGGAAUGUGAUAAAAGGGAAACGAGAAAAUUGCUUAGGAGACAAAACGCUUUUAUGGGGGUUGC
rnacentral:lncRNA from 1 species